CUGAUUGAUAGCUGUCUUGAGUCAGUCAGGAUCCAGGCUUUCCACGUCAACACGACCGGUGGUAACCUCCCUCUCCAGCUGUCUGGUUGAGAACCCUGGAUCUUGUUCUGGUUUGGGUAUUUGAUCACAUCUCUAGCAUUGGCUCGUGACUUGUUCCACAUCGAGAGUCAAACAAAAAAGUCAAAAAGCAUAGAAGCCGUGUCAAAGACGAAGACCAGG
rnacentral:lncRNA from 1 species